rnacentral:rRNA from 1 species
AUACGUAGGGUGCAAGCGUUAAUCGGAAUUACUGGGCGUAAAGCGUGCGCAGGCGGUUUUGUAAGACAGAGGUGAAAUCCCCGGGCUCAACCUCGGAACUGCCUUUGUGACUGCAAGGCUAGAGUACGGCAGAGGGGGAUGGGAUUCCGCGUGUAGCAGUGAAAGGCGAGCAGUUGCGGAGGAACAACGAGGACGAAGGCAUUCCCCUGGUCCUGCAAUAAUGCUCAUGCACGAUAGUGUGGGAAACAAAGAGGAUUACAUACCCUGUUAGUCCGCGACCUAGACGAGUUCAACUGGUUAUGGGGGAUUUAGUUUCUCAUUGCCUUAGGUAACGCAUGAAGGUGAACCGCUGGGGAGUACGGUCGCAAGGUUAAAACUCAAAGGAAUUGACGGGG